AGACAGAACUGGGCAAGACGGAGAAGUGAGAAUGGCCAGGACGGGUAAGGGUUGACUGUCCUUCCAGGAACACAGAAAGAGUUGUUUCAUGGAAAAGAUUCAUCCAAGAGGUGUUUCAUCCUUGCUAUCCGUCCUUUUGUCCUGCCUUGUCUUCUACUUUGCAAAGUGAAAGUGCAGGAAGUGUUUGUACAGACAGACUUUGUACAAAUGUUAACAUAUUUUAAUCGUGAAUAAAGCUGCACAUUUCUUCAUGUCAUCUUAUCAUGUAUUUCUUCAUGUUUUGUCUAGUAAACUGUCAGCCUUCACCUGAGAUACUGCCCUUGUUCUAUCAGUGUGUUUUUGGCCGGGAAACAGGUUUUUCAGGCCUCCUGACUUUAGAUGAAGGAAGAUAAAUAAACAGGAUUGGCUUCAUCUAUGGACACACUGACGCCAACAACGAUAAAACAACCUAAAGAAUGUAUGAGCCUUAAUCAGAUCUUGCAAUGUGUAUAACUUUGUUUGUCCUAUGUACAUAGAACGUGAUCAGACUUUAUAAGAGAAAUAGAAAUGUGCUGGUAAAAUUAUACAAGACUGGGCAUUAAUCAUGGACAUGGUUUGCUGUAAAAUACUGAAGAAUAUUUCAGGGUUUUGAAAUUUGGUCACAUCACGACACUGAUUUUGUUUCAUGAAUCUUGUGAAUCUCAGCAGCUAGGUGGUUAACGGAACCCAUAAUGCAGCUGAUUGGUUGCUUAACAGCUGGAUGUGGAUUCCGUUUCCCGCCUUUCCUGCAAUAAGGUGACGUUUCUGCAGUCUCAAUUCCACAUUCUGGGUUUGAAAGUAGCUGAAGUGAUUAUAAUAGAUGUAAUAAUGAGGCGAGUACUUGUGUUUUUUCUCCUGCUGCUUGACUUUCGUUCAGUAUUCCACAGCAUAAAAAAGUUCAAUGACUCUACCUGGUGCUGUCCAUUCAUUUCACUCUUCUAAGGGCAGAAAUUGUAUUGAUGUUGCUGCAGAAUGACACGUUUUCUCCCGGAUUGCCAGAUAUACUAACCGCCACCGGGAACUUCGUGUCAGCCAGCAGUGAUAUCCAAAUCUGUCGAUCAAAUCUCCACCUGUCUGAGUCUCAAAAUCACUCUCUGGGUCUUUCAACUCAAGUUGAAUCUAAAAAAAAAGUCUGAAUUAUUGUUUUUAUGUUGCUCAAUAAAUAAAAAGUAGAACCAA